AUUCUGGUGGUGAUGGCAUUGGAAAAUGGAGCUUAGACCAGCCUGUAGGUGAGGAAUGGCUGAACACCCUGAGCCAGAUCGUUAUCUUGAUUGUAAAGACAAUGUUUCCUGACCAGCUGGAGGU
ensembl:misc_RNA